GAUGGACUCGAGCCGCGAGCAAUG
rnacentral:siRNA from 1 species